UCGAGCGAACGGACGAGAAGCUUGCUUCUCUGAUGUUAGCGGCGGACGGGUGAGUAACACGUGGAUAACCUACCUAUAAGACUGGGAUAACUUCGGGAAACCGGAGCUAAUACCGGAUAAUAUUUUGAACCGCAUGGUUCAAAAGUGAAAGACGGUCUUGCUGUCACUUAUAGAUGGAUCCGCGCUGCAUUAGCUAGUUGGUAAGGUAACGGCUUACCAAGGCAACGAUGCAUAGCCGACCUGAGAGGGUGAUCGGCCACACUGGAACUGAGACACGGUCCAGACUCCUACGGGAGGCAGCAGUAGGGAAUCUUCCGCAAUGGGCGAAAGCCUGACGGAGCAACGCCGCGUGAGUGAUGAAGGUCUUCGGAUCGUAAAACUCUGUUAUUAGGGAAGAACAUAUGUGUAAGUAACUGUGCACAUCUUGACGGUACCUAAUCAGAAAGCCACGGCUAACUACGUGCCAGCAGCCGCGGUAAUACGUAGGUGGCAAGCGUUAUCCGGAAUUAUUGGGCGUAAAGCGCGCGUAGGCGGUUUUUUAAGUCUGAUGUGAAAGCCCACGGCUCAACCGUGGAGGGUCAUUGGAAACUGGAAAACUUGAGUGCAGAAGAGGAAAGUGGAAUUCCAUGUGUAGCGGUGAAAUGCGCAGAGAUAUGGAGGAACACCAGUGGCGAAGGCGACUUUCUGGUC
rnacentral:rRNA from 1 species